UAGGGAAUAUUAGUAAUGGGCGAAAGCCUGAACUAGCAACGCCGCGUGUGCGAAGAAGGCCUUCGGGUUGUAAAGCACUUUUUGAGAGGAUGAGGAAGGACGGUACUCUCAGAAUAAGUCUCGGCUAACUACGUGCCAGCAGCCGCGGUACCACGUGGAAGGCGAACUUUAUCCGGUUUUACUGGGCGUAAAGCGCGGGUAGGUGGUUUGGUAAGUAGGGCGUGAAAGCUCCUGGCUCAACUGGGAGAGGCCGUUCUAAACUGCCGAACUAGAGGAUGGUAGAGGGAGGUGGAAUUCCGGGUGUAGCGGUGGAAUGCGCAGAUAUCCGGAGGAACACCAGUGGCGAAAGCGGCCUCCUGGACCAUUCCUGACACUCAGACGCGAAAGCUAGGGUAGCAAACGG
rnacentral:rRNA from 1 species